rnacentral:lncRNA from 1 species
UCUCUAUCUUGUUAACUUGAUAAAUAUUGUUUAAGUAAUACAACAUAAUUGCAAACAAGCAAUAACUGUAUUGAAUAAUAGAAUAUAAAAGGUAAACUAGUCGCAACAAACAUUGGCUUUGUGUAUUCCACAUCUGCUGAGAUGCGCAAUAAAUACUGUAAUUAUUCCCAAUAAAUUUAUUUAUCUCAUUAUCUAAAUCAGUACAACAAACAUAAACUUGAAAUGCAAAAAAAAAAAUGGAUCACGCUUUAUUUUAUCGGUUUAAAAGCAAUUAUAUAUGAAACUGAAUUCCUUCUUAAAUAACUAAGGCCGCUCCAAUGGACAGCAGAACU